rnacentral:lncRNA from 12 species
GAACUCUGCAGGUGACAGCCUGGGCGAGGGAACAGAGACAGCUCUGCACACGAUGUGACAGCUGCAAACACCUUCAAAAUAAACAUAAAGUUCCAGCUCAGUGUGAUGUUCAGACUGCAGCUCCAGCAUUAAGUGACAUUAAAGAAGGCAACACUGCAUCACAAGCAGCCAGCUUCGUGACUCGAGACAGAAGGAUCAGCUGGGAAUACCUGGGCAAGGACGACCAGAAGCCUUCUGCCUGGAAGAAGCUGAAGGAAGGCACUCUAACAGUGAAUUUAGCCAUCACUAACACUUACCGAGUGCAUCACUAGGAAAAAACCCGAAGGUGGCUGUAAUUGCAGUCUCUGCACUCCCUGUCUUCCCAAGGCAGCUUGAAUUCCUCUCCCUGGCUGUGGCAUGCUCGCAGUGACACUGGCAGCCGCCGCCCCCCCCCCCCCCCCCCCCCCCCCCCCCCCCCCCCCCCCCCCCCCCCCCCCCCCCCCCCCCCCCCC